CCAGACUCCUACGGGAGGCAGCAGUGGGGAAUAUUGCACAAUGGGCGCAAGCCUGAUGCAGCGACGCCGCGUGCGGGAUGGAGGCCUUCGGGUUGUAAACCGCUUUUGUUCAAGGGCAAGGCACGGUCUUUGGCCGUGUUGAGUGGAUUGUUCGAAUAAGCACCGGCUAACUCCGUGCCAGCAGCCGCGGUAAUACGGAGGAUGCGAGCGUUAUCCGGAUUUAUUGGGUUUAAAGGGUGCGUAGGCGGACUGUUAGGUCAGCGGUAAAAGCCGGGGGCCCAGCCCGGGCGAGCCGUUGAAACUGGCUGUCUUGAGAUGUCGAGAGGUAUGCGGAAUGCGCAGUGUAGCGGUGAAAUGCUUAGAUAUUGCGCAGAACUCCGAUUGCGAAGGCAGCAUACCGGCGGCGAUCUGACGCUGAGGCACGAAAGCGUGGGUAUCGAACAGGAUUAGAUACCCCUGUA
rnacentral:rRNA from 1 species